GAUGAACGCUGGCUACAGGCUUAACACAUGCAGGUCGAGGGGAAACGACGGGGAAGCUUGCUUCCCCGGGCGUCGACCGGCGCACGGGUGAGUAACGCGUAUCCAACCUGCCUCUGACUGAGGGAUAACCCGUCGAAAGUCGGCCUAAUACCUCAUGGCAUCGUCUGCGGGCAUCCAACGACGAUUAAAGAUUUCAUCGGUCAGGGAUGGGGAUGCGUCUGAUUAGCUUGUUGGCGGGGUAACGGCCCACCAAGGCUACGAUCAGUAGGGGUUCUGAGAGGAAGGUCCCCCACAUUGGAACUGAGACACGGUCCAAACUCCUACGGGAGGCAGCAGUGAGGAAUAUUGGUCAAUGGGCGGGAGCCUGAACCAGCCAAGUAGCGUGCAGGAUGACGGCCCUAUGGGUUGUAAACUGCUUUUAUGCGGGGAUAAAGUGAGGGACGUGUCCUUCAUUGCAGGUACCGCAUGAAUAAGGACCGGCUAAUUCCGUG
rnacentral:rRNA from 1 species